rnacentral:rRNA from 1 species
UACGGGGGGAGCAAGCGUUGUUCGGAUUUACUGGGCGUAAAGGGCGCGUAGGCGGCCACUGCAAGUCAGUUGUGAAAUCUCCGGGCUUAACCCGGAAAGGUCAACUGAUACUGCAGGGCUAGAGUGCAGAAGGGGCAACUGGAAUUCUCGGUGUAGCGGUGAAAUGCGUAGAUAUCGAGAGGAACACCUGCGGCGAAGGCGGGUUGCUGGGCUGAUACUGACGCUGAGGAGCGAAAGCGUGGGGAGCAAACAGG